rnacentral:rRNA from 1 species
AUUGAACGCUGGCGGCAUGCUUUACACAUGCAAGUCGAACGGCAGCGCGGGCUUCGGCCUGUCGGCGAGUGGCGAACGGGUGAGUAAUGCAUCGGAACGUGCCCAGUAGUUGGGGAUAGCCCGGCGAAAGCCGGAUUAAUACCGCAUACGACCUUAGGGUGAAAGCGGGGGACCGAAAGGCCUCGCGCUAUUGGAGCGGCCGAUGUCGGAUUAGCUAGUUGGUGGGGUAAAGGCUUACCAAGGCGACGAUCCGUAGCUGGUCUGAGAGGACGACCAGCCACACUGGAACUGAGACACGGCCCAGACUCCUACGGGAGGCAGCAGUGGGGAAUUUUGGACAAUGGGGGCAACCCUGAUCCAGCCAUGCCGCGUGCGGGAAGAAGGCCUUCGGGUUGUAAACCGCUUUUGUUCGGGAAGAAAUCCUCUGGGCUAAUACCCCGGGGUGCUGACGGUACCGGAAGAAUAAGCACCGGCUAACUACGUG